rnacentral:rRNA from 1 species
CCUACGGGAGGCUGCAGUGGGGAAUAUUGGGCAAUGGGCGCAAGCCUGACCCAGCAACGCCGCGUGAAGGAAGAAGGCUUUCGGGUUGUAAACUUCUUUUAAGAGGGAAGAGCAGAAGACGGUACCUCUUGAAUAAGCCACGGCUAACUACGUGCCAGCAGCCGCGGUAAUACGUAGGUGGCAGGCGUUGUCCGGAUUUACUGGGUGUAAAGGGCGUGCAGCCGGGAAGACAAGUCAGAUGUGAAAGCCCGCGGCUCAACCGCGGAACUGCAUUUGAAACUGUUUUUCUUGAGUACCGGAGAGGUCAUCGGAAUUCCUUGUGUAGCGGUGAAAUGCGUAGAUAUAAGGAAGAACACCAGUGGCGAAGGCGGAUGACUGGACGGCAACUGACGGUGAGGCGCGAAAGCGUGGGGAGCAAACAGGAUUAGAUACCCUGGUAGUC